rnacentral:rRNA from 1 species
GGGCGCAGCAGGCGCUAAACCUCCGCAAUGCGGGAAACCGCGACGGGGGGACCCCCAGUGCCGUGCCUCUGGCACGGCUUUUCCGGAGUGUAAAAAGCUCCGGGAAUAAGGGCUGGGCAAGGCCGGUGGCAGCCGCCGCGGUAAUACCGGCGGCCCGAGUGGUGGCCACUAUUAUUGGGCCUAAAGCGGCCGUAGCCGGGCCCGUAAGUCCCUGGCGAAAUCCCACGGCUCAACCGUGGGGCUCGCUGGGGAUACUGCGGGCCUUGGGACCGGGAGAGGCCGGGGGUACCCCCGGGGUAGGGGUGAAAUCCUAUAAUCCCGGGGGGACCGCCAGUGGCGAAGGCGCCCGGCUGGAACGGGUCCGACGGUGAGGGCCGAAGGCCAGGGGA